UACGUAGGGUGCAAGCGUUGUCCGGAAUUAUUGGGCGUAAAGAGCUCGUAGGCGGUUUGUCGCGUCUGCUGUGAAAACUCGGGGCUUAACUCCGGGCCUGCAGUGGGUACGGGCAGACUAGAGUGCGGUAGGGGAGACUGGAAUUCCUGGUGUAGCGGUGAAAUGCGCAGAUAUCAGGAGGAACACCGGUGGCGAAGGCGGGUCUCUGGGCCGUAACUGACGCUAAGGAGCGAAAGCGUGGGGAGCGAACAGG
rnacentral:rRNA from 1 species